GGGAGUGUAUAUCCGGGCUGAUGCGACCAGCGGGAGGACGAUCUCGUUCUCGGAUGCUGCGUAAUGAUGUCAUCAUCCGUCGUGAUGCAGAGGAACGAGUAGUCAUCUAGCGAGAGUCGCGUCAACACGUCCGCGAAUGAAAAGAAGGGAGCAGGAACACGCAAGGGCCUCCUUGGGCGGUUCUGAGUUCUUGGAGGAAUUAAUCAGGAGCAUAGCGGUCGGGACCGAAAGGAGUGAAAUAAGGCCGGAUUAGGGGAAGCCGGAGGAAAUUUUGUGGAGGGUUGGAACGGGUUUGGCCUGCAAAAUAUUGUCAAAAUUGGGCUAUGGGGGGGAAGGAUUAUUGGACCCUUUUGGAAGUGGUUUCCGCCGGAAUUUUCCUUCGGAUAACCAGAAGAGUAUUCAGUUUUAGGAGGUAAAGCGAAUGAUUAGAGGCCGGGGGGGUGAAACAGCCUUAACCUAUUCUCAAACUUUAAAUAUGUAGAAGUCCUUGUUGCUUAAUUGAACGUGGGCAUUUGAAUGUAUCGUUACUAGUGGGCCAUUUUUGGUAAGCAGAACUGGCGAUGCGGGAUGAACCGAACGCGAGGUUAAGGUGCCGGAAUGCACGCUCAUCAGACACCACAAAAGGUGUUAGUUCAUCUAGACAGCAGGACGGUGGCCAUGGAAGUCGGAAUCCGCUAAGGAGUGUGUAACAACUCACCUGCCGAAUGAACUAGCCCUGAAAAUGGAUGGCGCUCAAGCGUGCUACCCAUACCUCGCCGUCAGGGUAGAUACGAUGCCCUGGAGGAGUAGGCGGGCGUGGAGGCCCGUGAC
rnacentral:rRNA from 1 species